UACGUAGGGUGCAAGCGUUUAAUCGGAAUUACUGGGCGUAAAGCGUGCGCAGGCGGUUAUGCAAGACAGAUGUGAAAUCCCCGGGCUUAACCUGGGAACCGCAUUUGUGACUGCAUAGCUGGAGUACGGCAGAGGGGGAUGGAAUUCCGCGUGUAGCAGUGAAAUGCGUAGAUAUGCGGAGGAACACCGAUGGCGAAGGCAGUCCCCUGGGCCUGUACUGACGCUCAGGCACGAAAGCGUGGGGGAUCAAACAGG
rnacentral:rRNA from 1 species